UGCUAGUUCUGUUUAAUUAAGAUUUCCUUAUCCCCUGCUAUGUUAAUAGCUUGCUAGACCCUGCAAGAGCCUCCUGUAUGUGAUUAAAGUUCAAUUUAGAGAUUGAGAUACAAUUAUUUAAGGUAAAUUACAUCUGUUUGAAAGUGAAACCAUUUUUUUUUUUUUUUUCAUGCAGGCUCUGUCAGUCAUAGCCAGGGGAGGUGUGGCUAGGGCUGCAUAAACAGAAACAAAGUGAUUUAAAUCCUAAAUGACAGUGAAUUGAGCAGUGAAAUUGCAGGGGA